rfam:Felis catus isolate Cinnamon breed Abyssinian chromosome D4, whole genome shotgun sequence.
GCCUGGGUGGCUCAGGCGGUUGAGCAUCUGACUUUGGCUCAGGUCAUGACCCCAUGGUUUGUGAGUUCGAGCCCCACGUCGGGCU